rnacentral:rRNA from 1 species
AAACUGGAGAGUUUGAUCCUGGCUCAGAACGAACGCUGGCGGCGUGGAUUAGGCAUGCAAGUCGGACGGUUCUUUCAUUGUCAAAGGAGUUGAUAGCUUGCUAUCGAUUCUUUCGGCGCGAAAGAAUAGUGGCAAAAGGGUGAGGAACGCGUGGGUAAUUUGCCCUUAAAUUUGGAAUAACUCACCGAAAGGUGUGCUAAUACCAAAUGUGGUCCGGAGAGGGUAUCCUUUCCGUACUAAAGGCGGGGAUCCGCUUCAAGUGGACCUGUCGUUUAAGGAUAAGCCCGCGUCCUAUCAGCUUGUUGGUAGGGUAACGGCCUACCAAGGCUUUUGACGGGUAGCUGGUCUGAGAGGAUGGUCAGCCACACUGGGACUGAGACACUGCCCAGACUCCUACGGGAG